rnacentral:rRNA from 1 species
GUGGUAAAGGAUGGGCAUGCGUUGUAUUAGCUAGUUGGUAAGGUAACGGCUUACCAAGGCGACGAUACAUAGGGGGACUGAGAGGUUAACCCCCCACAUUGGUACUGAGACACGGACCAAACUCCUACGGGAGGCAGCAGUGAGGAAUAUUGGUCAAUGGACGGAAGUCUGAACCAGCCAUGCCGCGUGCAGGAAGACGGCUCUAUGAGUUGUAAACUGCUUUUGUACGAGGGUAAACGCAGAUACGCGUAUCUGCCUGAAAGUAUCGUACGAAUAAGGAUCGGCUAACUCCGUGCCAGCAGCCGCGGUAAUACGGAGGAUCCAAGCGUUAUCCGGAUUUAUUGGGUUUAAAGGGUGCGUAGGCGGUUUAGUAAGUCAGCGGUGAAAUUUUGGUGCUUAACACCAAACGUGCCGUUGAUACUGCUGGGCUAGAGAGUAGUUGCGGUAGGCGGAAUGUAUGGUGUAGCGGUGAAAUGCUUAGAGAUCAUACAGAACACCGAUUGCGAAGGCAGCUUACCAAACUAUAUCUGACGUUGAGGCACGAAAGCGUGGGGAGCAAACAGGAUUAGAUACCCUGGUAGUCCACGCAGUAAACGAUGAUAGCUCGUUGUCGGCGAUACACAGUCGGUGACU